GACGAACGCUGGCGGCGUGCUUAACACAUGCAAGUCGAACGGAAAGGCCCUGCUUUUGUGGGGUGCUCGAGUGGCGAACGGGUGAGUCACACGUGAGUAACCUGCCCUUGACUUUGGGAUAACUUCAGGAAACUUGGGCUAAUACCGGAUAUGAGCUCCUGCUGCAUGGUGGGGGUUGGAAAGUUUCGGCGGUCGGGGAUGGACUCGCGGCUUAUCAGCUUGUUGGUUGGGUAGUGGCUUACCAAGGCUUUGACGGGUAGCCGGCCUGGGAGGGUGGACGGCCACAUUGGGCCUGAGGUACGGCCCAGACGCGUACGGGAGGCAGUGGGGGGGAAUCUUGCACAGUGGGCGGAAGCGUGAUGCAGCGACGUCGCGUGCGUGAUGACGGCCUUCGGGUUGUAAACCGCUUUUGCCUGUGACGAAGCGUGAGUGACGGUAAUGGGUGAAGAAGCACCGGCUAACUACGUG
rnacentral:rRNA from 1 species